AAGCUGGGGAAUUUACACUGUAAAAAAAAUCCGUACAAAUACAGUACAAUAUACCCUAAUAAUUACAGGAAAUUUUCCGUAUUUUUGAAUUACGAUUCGCAUUGUGGGAACAAGAACGUUGGUGGCUUGCACAGGCGCGAAAACAGUGACGAUCAGACGCGGAGAGUUUCUCGGUCAAAGUUUAAUUUUAAUGUCGGCUUUCGAAUUUGGAAAACAUGUUUUUCAUAUACUCUUCGUGGUAAACGAGUUAAAUGUCACAUAAAUUGUUUACGUAAUGUUAACUUAGCUGCUGUCUGGCUUGUUUGACAAAUAGACGUCGGAGCCGUCGCACUCAACAUUUCUCUGCAUAUCGUCAGACAUCUUCCUCGUGGAGUUUUCUGCCAAAUGAGGACGUGAUUGCUGCUGUACUGUGAAUCUCAAGCACACCUGCAUUCUUAUCAUGCGUUUGUAUUCUGUUUUAUUAACAGUUUUAUUUAACAUUAGUGUUAAGUAUCAGAAAGAAAAUCGUUAUUGAGUAAUUUAUUCUGUUGACUUUCACAACAAUGUGAAGUUGUUUGCUGUCUGAUGCGUCGGAAGCCACGUCACAACGUGCUAACCUUACCAAAAUGAUUGGAUUGAUUACUUUUGCAUGUUAUUAUCCUGGUGUGUAUAAGGUGUGUUCAAACUGCUUGUCAUUAUGUAUAUGGUAAUUUUGUAAUGUCUUUUGUGUUUAAGGUGAUGGGCAGUUCAAGAUUGCUGUCGUUCAAGAAGUUAAUGACCACUGUUGAGGUUGUGAGCUACAAAUACCCAGAAGAGGUGGCACUUACAUUAGAAUUCAUACAGAAAGUUUUCCUGUGAAGAAAUCCUAAAUGAGGGUUGAGAUGAAGGAAACCAAGUG